GAUGAAGAACGUAGCGAAAUGCGAUAAGUAAUGUGAAUUGCAGAAUUCAGUGAAUCAUCGAAUCUUUGAACGCACAUUGCGCCCUCUGGUAUUCCGGGGGGCAUGCCUGUUCGAGCGUCAUUAUAACCACUCAAGCUCUCGCUUGGUAUUGGGGUUCGCGGUUCCGCGGCCCCUAAAAUCAGUGGCGGUGCCUGUCGGCUCUACGCGUAGUAAUACUCCUCGCGAUUGAGUCCGGUAGGUCUACUUGCCAGCAACCCCCAAUUUUUACAGGUUGACCUCGGAUCGGGUAGGGAUACCCGCUGAACUUAAGCAUAUCAAUAAGCGGAGGA
rnacentral:misc_RNA from 1 species